rnacentral:tRNA from 2 species
GCUGGGAUGCCGGAGUGGACAAUCGGUACAGACUGUAAAUCUGUCGCCCGAAAGGGCUUCCUAGGUUCGAAUCCUAGUCCCAGCA